rnacentral:rRNA from 1 species
UACGUAGGGUGCGAGCGUUUGUUCGGGAUUCAUUGGGCGUUAAAAGGGUGCGUAGGCGGCGCGGUAAGUCGGGUGUGAAAUCUCGGAGCUUAACUCCGAAACUGCAUUCGAUACUGCCGUGCUUGAGGACUGGAGAGGAGACUGGAAUUUACGGUGUAGCGGUGAAAUUCGUAGAUAUCGGGAGGAACACCGGUGGCGAAGGCGGCGAAUCUGGGUCGAUACUGACGCUGAGGUGCG